AGAACGAACGCUGGCGGCGUGCUUAACACAUGCAAGUCGAGUGCGCGCCUGUAGCAAUACAGGUGGCGCACGGCGCACGGGUGCGUAACACGUGGGUAAUCUGCCCUCUGAUGGGGAAUAACUCGCCGAAAGGCGAGCUAAUUCCGCAUAAUAUUCCGGGAACUUAUGUUUCUGGACUGAAAGGCGUAAGUCGUCGGAGGAGGAGCCCGCGCACGAUUAGCUAGUUGGUAGGGUAAUGGCCUACCAAGGCUUUGAUCGUUAGCUGGUCUGAGAGGAUGGCCAGCCACACUGGAACUGAGACACGGUCCAGACUCCUACGGGAGGCAGCAGUGGGGAAUCUUGCACAAUGGGCGAAAGCCUGAUGCAGCGACGCCGCGUGGGGGAUGAAGCUUCUCGGAGUGUAAACCCCUUUCGACUCCGGACGAAUGCCUCGCAAGAGGAGUGACGGUACGGAUAUAAGAAGCCCCGGCUAACGUACGUGCCAGCAG
rnacentral:rRNA from 1 species